rnacentral:lncRNA from 1 species
CUACAGGCAUGUGCCACCACGCCCGGCUAAUUUUCCACAGUCUCUAACUCUUGACUUCAGGUGAUCUGCUCACCUUGGCCUCCCAAAGUGCUGGGAUUACAGGCAUGAGCCGCCGCGCCCAGCCUAGUGACUUCUUUUAGGCCUUUAGGAAGCCUCUCAGAGUUCAGAGAGAAUGCCCUCCCUGACCUCAAAAUCAGUUUUCCACAGUGUACGAAACUCAUCUCCGCGGUUUUUAAUCUGUCAGAAGAACUGCAUUUUGAUAUCUUGAUUCCCUUUUCAGAAGCAGCUGCUCUCUUUACACUGUGCAUGAGCUUUAAGGAGAAAGUAUCAACAGUUUCAGGCUUUGACAUAUGCUUACUUGUUAGAAAGCUCUGGCUAAAUUGUGAUGUCAAGUGCUUUUACUUAAGUGAGGCUAUGUUCAUAAAGAGAGAGAAAUUUCGUGCUGGGCACGGUGGCUCAUGCCUGUAAUUCCAGCACUUUGGGAGGCCGAGGUGGGUGGAUCAUAAGGUCAGGAGUUUGAGACCAGCCUGGCCAACAAUGUGAAACACCGUCUCUGCUAAAAAUAUAAAAAACUAGCUGGGCGUGGUGGCGAGCGCCUAUAAUCCCAGCUACUUGGGAGGCUGAGGCAGGAGAAUUGCUUGAACCCGGGAAGCGGAGGUUGUGGUGAGCCAAGAUCACGCCAUUACACUCCAGCCUGGGCGACGGGCGAGAUUCUGUCUCAAAAAAAAAAAAAAAAACCCAAAAACAAACCAGUAAAUAUAAGUGUUUCCCUGAGUUCUGUGAGCUGCUCCUGCAAAUUAAUUGAACCCAAAGAGAGGGUCAGGGGAACCCCAACUUGAAGCUAGUCCAUCAGAAGUCCUGGAAGCCUGGACUUGCGACUGGUGGGAAGGAGGGGGCAGUCCUUCAGGACUGAGCCCUCAACCCCCAGGAUCAGCCACUAUCUCCAGGUAGAUAGCAUCAGAAUGGAAUUGAAUUAAAGGACACCCAGCUAGUGUCUGCUGCUUGAUAUAUAGCGGAAGCCUCCACAUAUUUGGUCACAGAAAUCUUCUCUGUUGAUUGUCAUAGUGGAACAGCAGAGGAAAAACGGUUUGAGUUUUAUCAAAUGAGCAUGUUUUCCAGAACUGAGAAUUUUUUAAAAGCUGGAAUACAGCAAAACACAAUGCUAAGAUACACUGCUUCAGAAAUCAGGAAAUCUAGGCCAGGCGCGGUAGCUCAUGCCUGUAAUCUUGGCACUUUGGGAGGCCGAGGCGGGUGGAUCACCUGAGGUCGGGAGUUUGAGACGAGCCUGACCAACAUGGAAAAACCCCGUCUCUACUAAAAAUACAAAAUUAGCCAGGCGUGGUGGCGCCCGUCUGUAAUCCCAGCUACUCAGGAGGCUGAGGCAGGAAAAUCGCUUGAACCCGGGAGGUGGAGGUUGUGGUGAGCUGAGAUUGCGCUACUGCGCACUCCAGCCUGGACAACAUGAGUAAAACUCCAUCUCAAAAAAAAAAAAAAAAAAAGUCACAAAAUCUGGCAAGUGGUCAACAUUCACCUCGUUAAUAUGUGCUGAGCCUUGCUAUGUGCUGUGAGUCCAACAGAACUUUCUACAGUGAUGGCAAUGUUCUAUGGCCGCUCUUUCCAACACAGAAGCCAUGUGUGGCUGUGAAGCAUUUGAAAUGUGGCUGGUGAAAUUGUGGAACUGAAUUUUUAAAAAUUUAUUUAAUUUUAAUUAAUUAAAACUCAACAGCGGUUGGGCGUGGUGGCUCACACCUGUAAUCCCAGCACUUUGGGAGGCCGAGGUGAGCGGAUCACCUGAGGUCAGUUCAAGACCAGCCUGGCCAACAUGGUGAAACCCUGUCUCUACAAAAAUUAGCUAGGCAUGAUGGCAGUUGCCUGUAAUCCCAGCUACUCGGGAGGCUGAAUCAGGAGAAACGCUUCAACCCGGGAGGCGGAGGAUGCAGUGAGCCAGGAUCAUGCCACUGCACUCCAUCCUCAGUGACAGAGCGAGACUCCAUCUCAAAACAAAAACAAAAACAAAAAACUCAAUAGCUACAUAUGGUAGUGGCUACCACACUGGACAACAGCUUUAGCCUCUGUGCAGGUGUAUAAACAGGUGCAAAGAAAUCUAUCAGUAAAACACAUUGUACUGAUAACUUAUAAAUAGAUAAGAAAACAACAAAGACAGGCCAUAACAGGAGGAGUUGGUAUGGGAAGAGAGGGUCAUACACAUGUACCUAUGUUUUAAGUGGCUGGAGUUCUGUAAGAGAAGCUUGUUCUAUGUACUAAUAAAAUCAAACCUGGCCGGGCCUGGUGGCUCACGCAUGUAAUCCCAGCACUGUGGGGGGCUGAGGUGGGCGGAUCACCUGAGGUCAGGAGCUCGAGAUUAGCCUGGCCAGCAUGGUGAAACCCCGUCUCUACUAAAAAUACAAAAAUUAGCUGGGUGUGGUGGCGCGCCCCUAUAAUCCCAGCUACUCGAGAAGCUGAGGCAUGAGAAUCGCUUGAACCCAGGAGGUGGAGGUUGCAGUGAGCCGAGAUCGCGCCACUGCACUCCAGCCUGGGGGACAGAGCGAGACUCUGUCUCCUAAAAGAAAAAAAAAUCAAACCCUUGCUUGUUGACAGCUUCCCCCCACCCCAAAAUAGCACAAGCUCCGUGUAAUACUACUUUUUCAGAUUUUGGGUUUUUUGUUUUGUUUUAUAGUUUUUUUUUUUGAGACAGGGUUUCAUUCUAUCACCCAAGGCUGGAGCAGCCUCAACCUCCUGGGCUCAAUCAAUCCUUCUGCCUCAGCCUCCAGUAUAGCUGGGACCACAGGCACAGACCACCAUGCCUGGCUAAUUUUUGUAUUUGUUUGUAGAGUCAGGUUUCACCAUGCUGCUCAGGCUGGUCUAGAACUCCUGGGCGCAAAUGAUCUGCCUGCCCCCACCUCCCAAAGUGCAGAGAUUACAGGCGUGAGCCACCACACCUGGUCCCACAUCUUUUUUCUUUUGUCUUUUUUUUUUUUUUCAGACAUGGUCUCACUCUGUCACCCAAGCUGGAGUGCAGUGGCGCAAUGAUAGCUCACUGCAACCUUGAGCUCCUGGGCUCAGGCAAUCUUCCUGCCUCAGCCUUCCAAAGCACUGGGAUUCCAGGCACAAACCACCGUGCCCAGCCAGCGCUUCACUUCUUUGUUGCCUUCAAGGUAAUGAUAUAAAGCAACAAUUCAAUACCAAGUUGGUAAAAUAAUUUGUAUUUCAAACAGAAAGACUGCCUAAAAAUAUUACCUUUUGCUCCUAGCACCCAGACAAACAAUGAAUAAAGGGAAAUAAGGAAACCCUGGCAGCUGAGAAGGCCUCCUAGUCAAUAGAUCCAGUUUCUCCCAAGUUCAUACUGCAGAUGAACUUGUAGUUCAUUUAAGUAUCUAGAUCUCUUUCCUUCAUGUAGAGACCUUAAUCAAAGACUCUUCUCAGGAUUUUAUUUCACAGCCUAAGAAAUGUUUAUUUAAUUUAAUAAAAUACUCUUUUUCUUUAAGGUUGGGUCCAU